UACAGAGGGUGCGAGCGUUGUCCGGAAUCAUUGGGCGUAAAGAGCGUGUAGGCGGCUUGUUAAGUCUUGCGUGAAAUCUCGGGGCUCAACCCCGAGCGGUCGUGAGAAACUGGCAGGCUAGAGUGCGGGAGAGGAGAGUGGAAUUCCUGGUGUAGCGGUGAAAUGCGCAGAUAUCAGGAGGAACACCGAUGGCGAAGGCAGGUCUCUGGGCAUUAACUGACGCUGAGGAGCGAAAGCAUGGGGGAGCGAACAGG
rnacentral:rRNA from 1 species